rnacentral:lncRNA from 1 species
GCCGACUUAAUUAUAUGUACUGCUAAUGGCGUGAUACAAAAAUGGACUUAUAGGUACUUUAGAUCAGUGGUUCACAUUAGAAAUGGAGUGGAUCAAUGGUUAGCUUGGCUGUUUUCUAACGAAUUGUCUCAGGUUCGAAACCCAUGUGAAUGUUUUUUUCCACCAAUUUUCUCUCUCACAAUCUGACAUACGGGCCUACACUUAUACGGUAUUGCAGGGAGUAGCAGGAGACAUAGUCAGGACCGUAUUGGAGCGUAUUCUCAUGCUUGAGGACCGUAGUGGAGCACUCCGCGAGUUCGAGGACCAUGGUGUUACAUGCCGGAGAGUACAGGGACUAUAGGUGUAAUUAUCU